AGUGAACGCUGGCGGCAGGCCUAACACAUGCAAGUCGAACGGCAGCACAGUAAGAGCUUGCUCUUACGGGUGGCGUGUGGCGGACGGGUGAGGCAUACAUCCGAAUCUACUUUUUCGUGGUGGCUAACGUAGGGAAACUUACGCUAAUACCUCAUACGUCCUACGGGUGUAAGCAUGGGAUCUUCGGACCUUGUGCGUUUGUAUGAGCUGAUUCCGGAUUAGCUAGUUGGCGGGGUAAAGACCGACCAAGGCAACGAUCCGUAGCUGGUCUGACAGGAUGAUGAGGCAGAAGGGAACUGAGACACAGAUCAGACUCGUGCGGGAGGCAGAAGUUGGGAAUGUAGGAAAAAGGGCGGAAGGCUGACGAAGCAAAACCGAGUGGGUGAAGAAGGCAUUAGGAUAGUAAAGCACUUUUGUUGGGGAAGAAAAGCAGCAGGUUAAUACGCGGCUGUUCUGAAGGUACCAAAGGAAUAAGCAAAGGCUAACUUCGUG
rnacentral:rRNA from 1 species